AUGGAAGGGAGUGAUGUUCACUACCUCAGGAGACAGAAAACCUGUAAACACGCUGCUCCUCAGCAGACAGGUAAAUGCUGUACCCAGGCCUGUACCCAGGCCUGUACCCAGGGGAAACUGAUCAGUACUGUGUUUUUGAUCUCCAUUCCCCUUGAUGGAAAAGCCCAAGAGAAGGAAAAGGAAGUGCUGUCUGGUGUUGUGAACAGCCUGUCUCAUGACACAGACCGAUCGAGGUGAGGUGACUGCCUACAGCGUGGCUGUUGACUCCCUGGAUGUGUCUCAAAUCGCCCCCUAUUCCCUAUAUAGUGCACUAUAAAGAUGAGGGUGCCAUUUGGGUCGAAGCCCCUGUUUGUCUAAUCCCUACUACAGCUCUUAAUGCUCCAUAACCUAACCUGUAGGGUGCCAUAGUAAGUCCCAUAUGUCAUUCUAUUCCCUACAUAGGGAGACACUUGUUAUGGCUAUUGUGGGGUCCAACAUUCUUAAAUAGCCAUUUCUUUUAGACACAAAUGCAGGUACUGGAGGUUCCAACUCAUUUCCCAUUUAUCCAGAAAUCCAAUCAAUACGUGUGAGUUCCUGAUUGCAAUGAUCUUCACAAAUGUACUACACACAAGGUCUGGCUCUUUCACACAGUUCCAGGAUUGGGUAAUGAAGACAUUCCAGGUAUUUUGAACAAAGCUGCUGAUGAUGAUGUUGGCAAAAUUAUCUUUAAAAAUGGCACUAAAAUGAUCAGAAACCAAACAAAAUGACAUGGUUGGAAACUCUCUGCUUGGCGUCUAUCAGCCUAUUCCAAUGACUGAAUGGCACCAUACACAUUUCUAAUACAUAAUCCAUAAUCAUUUCAAAAUGUUCUUUUAAUAUCAAAAUGGUUCUUAAAGCACUGGUUUUGAACAGAGCCUGUGGGCUUAAGUACGGCCUAGGGUGCAUCCAAAAUGAAGUGGCCUGCUACACCUCAUUGCAAAUGGCUGCUGUUCCUCCCUUGUGAUGACACAGCUUGCUCAGCUUGCUGUGUGUUCCUCACUCCUGCAUGAACCAUGCUUGCUGUGUGCUGGCCAACGCACACAUUAUGAGUCUAAUUGUUUGUGUGAGUGAUCAUUGCUGUACUAAUUGUAUGUUUGAGUGUUUGCACGAGGCAUGUGUUAAGAGGCUGAGCGUGUGUAUCUCUUCACUGACACUGUGUUGUAUGUUUUCCAGGCUCCGGGGAGAACAAACGAGAGUUGCUCUGUUAUGUAACUCCACCUUCCUCCUUUCACAAUUCUGACCUGAGAACGCUGCAUCCGACCCAGGAAUUCCCAGGAAUACCACUGGAAAGGCUACAAUGACAUCCUAUCCCCUACAUAGUGCGUUACUUUGCCAUGAACCACAGCGUGGGCACUGCACAGGGAAGUGGGUGUCAUUUGACACUGGCCAUGUCACCAAUGGUAUUAUUUAUGUGCCCUGUGGGAGCUUGAUGGUGAUUUGGGAGCACUGCUACACAAAUGUGUGUGAUUUCAAUGCAGAUUUUUUCCUAAACUAAUGCAAGAGUUUGGCUGGUUGUAUAGUUGCCUGUACCUGGAAAAAUAGUGAGGAGCCCUUUAAAAUUGCAGAUCUGUUAGUGCUGUCUAGUCAACUCCUAUGGUCAUUUGUCUAAACAGCACAGACAGAUCUGGGACCAGGCUUGUAUUCUUUAAGCAGCGACAUGGCGUUUGUCCUGCUACUCUGGUUCCCAACACGUCUCUCCUCCCGCUUGCUGCGAGUGACAUUCAUGUGCCCCUUACUGUCUUUAAUGCCACAUCAUUCAAUUGUCAAAGUUUUUAAGAAAAUAUGUUUCAUUUGUCAUACAGUAUNNNNNNNNNNUGACAUCCUAUCCCCUACAUAGUGCGUUACUUUGCCAUGAACCACAGCGUGGGCACUGCACAGGGAAGUGGGUGUCAUUUGACACUGGCCAUGUCACCAAUGGUAUUAUUUAUGUGCCCUGUGGGAGCUUGAUGGUGAUUUGGGAGCACUGCUACACAAAUGUGUGUGAUUUCAAUGCAGAUUUUUUCCUAAACUAAUGCAAGAGUUUGGCUGGUUGUAUAGUUGCCUGUACCUGGAAAAAUAGUGAGGAGCCCUUUAAAAUUGCAGAUCUGUUAGUGCUGUCUAGUCAACUCCUAUGGUCAUUUGUCUAAACAGCACAGACAGAUCUGGGACCAGGCUUGUAUUCUUUAAGCAGCGACAUGGCGUUUGUCCUGCUACUCUGGUUCCCAACACGUCUCUCCUCCCGCUUGCUGCGAGUGACAUUCAUGUGCCCCUUACUGUCUUUAAUGCCACAUCAUUCAAUUGUCAAAGUUUUUAAGAAAAUAUGUUUCAUUUGUCAUACAGUAUGUGUCUCCUGACUGUUUAAAAUCCUGUUUGGGAAAAUGACAGAUUGUUCCACUCGUAUGGUAUUACAGUAUGUUAGUACUAUAACUAACUGUAAGAUGAAUGUUUUCUGGUGUUUUUACCCUUCAACCUGCUGCACUUUUUACCAUUAAGAGAGGAGUUAUACACUGAAUAUAUCCAUCAUAUAAUGUGGACAUGUUUCAUGUUCAUCCUGAAGUAUGUGGACAGGAUGCUUUUCCUGUGUUUGACAGGUACUUUGGUGGCUUUGCAAUAUUGUUUCUUAUUUUAUUUCUGAAACGUUAUUUUCUUUCUAUUUAGAAAAGCAACUAACUGUAACAUCCUCUGAACGUUCAAUUGACGUCCGAAGAAACUCCAUGUUGGUUUGUCCUUAUGCACCAAAAUACUUAUGAUUUCAAUAAAGAUUUUUCCUUAACUAAUGUCAGUGUUUGGUUUAUUGUUGGUGUGGUUUGGUAUAGCCUGUGCCUGGAAAGACUAUGGAUAACCCUUUACAUAAAAUGGUUCUUAUACCUCUGUAGUAAUGCUGAAGUUACUCUAGUAGUGAUAUUACAACAGUAAUUAGCCACAGUGUUUGUAGUGACAAACUCAGUAUAAAGUGGAACUAAAGAUUUGUAUAAACACCACAGAUCGUCAAAGCAACAUUUCUGACUGUGGUCCUCAGGAAAGAUUGUUUUCAAAUGUCACUUAAAGGGACAUUACACUUUCAAGUCAAAGUUUGUCAGACGUUUUCAAACCUUAAAGUAGUCUGAUGUAAAAACAUAGCCACAUCCCACAUUGGUUGUUUCGAAGCAGGAAACCAGGAAAUUAGACAGUGUUCAUCAUUGAGGAAUAUAGCUACAAAUAUCUAACAAACCUUUUGAGUGAAAUGUCCUUUAAAGAUGUUUGCAGGUCUAACUAAGGUGGUUAUUUGCAGGUGUAACAAAGCGUGUUUAGUGAACGAUAACUAGUCAUUCUUAGAGUCCAAGAGUUGUUUUUUUUCAUAGUCUGGGAACAGGUUUGGAAAAAACUCUGGGCCCAACAUCAAUUGGGAGUGGGACAUCAAUUUCAUUGUCAUUAAUCUCAUCACUCUUUUACAAAAUAGUCUUUAGAAAAUAGUUAUGUUCAACUGAGUAAGUCUCAAAGGCUGGUGUCUAUAAAUAUAUAAAAAGUAUUCUCCGCAGAGGAAGGUUUCUUCCUCUGAAGGUUCCUUGGUAGAACAUUUUCAUUGCUGUUUCCUUGAUCCAAGUCUUUGUUNNNNNNNNNNGACUAUGGAUAACCCUUUACAUAAAAUGGUUCUUAUACCUCUGUAGUAAUGCUGAAGUUACUCUAGUAGUGAUAUUACAACAGUAAUUAGCCACAGUGUUUGUAGUGACAAACUCAGUAUAAAGUGGAACUAAAGAUUUGUAUAAACACCACAGAUCGUCAAAGCAACAUUUCUGACUGUGGUCCUCAGGAAAGAUUGUUUUCAAAUGUCACUUAAAGGGACAUUACACUUUCAAGUCAAAGUUUGUCAGACGUUUUCAAACCUUAAAGUAGUCUGAUGUAAAAACAUAGCCACAUCCCAC
rnacentral:lncRNA from 13 species